GCUGAGCACAACGCAGCUCCGCCCUCGCAAAGGCACAGCGCGGGCGCAGGCGCCCAGAGGCGCACAGGAGACCUCAGGCCCAGACUCCACUCCCCAGCUGUGAAAGGACUGCUGGCCAGACCCCCAAGCUAGCCCGCCAGGCCUCCAUAGAGCUGCCCAGCAUGGCUGCAUCCAGUACCAAGAGUUGGUGGGAGACGGGUGAGGUAUAGGCUCAGUCUGCGGCCAAGACUCCGUCCUGCAAGGAUAUUGUGGCUGGAGACAUGAGCAAGAAAAGCCUCUGGGAGCAGAAGGGAGGCUCCAAGACCUCAUCAACAAUUAAGACUCUUUGGCAGUUGCACUGGGUACUGGCUGAGUUCUGGAAAACAGGAAUGUGAGCAGAGUGCUGCAGAUCUCCUUGUCAGGAGCACCUAAGAACUGGCAUGACUCUACACCCUCUCUCCUUCUGCAAUGACCUCGUGUCAAGAUGGCAGACCCGCAGAGAUGAAUGUGCCUGGAUACCUGAGUCACCAGGUGGAGGAAACUCCCAUUGACAUGCAUCACACUCCACAUAUGAAACCCUUCUUUUUCUGCACUGUCACUGGGGUUAGGGAUUAUUACUCACUGCAACUUAGCCUAGCAUUAAGUUGCUUGACUAAUACAAGUUUCAAUAAAUGUCGCUUCAUUUCCCAUGG
rnacentral:lncRNA from 1 species